AUUGAACGCUGGCGGCAGGCCUAACACAUGCAAGUCGAGCGGCGCGGCGGACGGGUGAGUAAUUCCUAGGAAUCUGCCCGGUCGUGGGGGAUAACGUCAGGACACGGGCGCUAAUAUCGCAUACUAUUAGAUGAGCCUCGGUCGGAUUAGCUCGUUGGUGGGGUAAAGGCUGACCAAGGCGACGAUCCGUAACUGGUCUGAGAGGAGGAUCAGUCACACUGGAACGUAGACACGGUCCAGACUCCGACGGGAGGCAGCAGUGGGGAAUAUUGCACAAUGGGCGCAAGCCUGAUGCAGCAAUGCCGCGUGUAGGAAGAAGGCCUUCGGGUUGUAAAGUACUUUUAGCGGGGAGGCGUUACCCGAAGAAGAAGCACCGGCUAACUCCGUGCCAGCAGACGCGGUAAUAC
rnacentral:rRNA from 1 species